UGCGCCGUGGAGCAGUGGUUAGCUCGCCAGGCUCAUAACCUGGAGGUCGCAGGUUCAAUCCCUGCCGGCGCAA
rnacentral:tRNA from 1 species